GAUGAACGCUGGCGGCGUGCCUAAUACAUGCAAGUCGAACGAGUUCUCGUUGAUGAUCGGUGCUUGCACCGAGAUUCAACAUGGAACGAGUGGCGGACGGGUGAGUAACACGUGGGUAACCUGCCCUUAAGUGGGGGAUAACAUUUGGAAACAGAUGCUAAUACCGCAUAGAUCCAAGAACCGCAUGGUUCUUGGCUGAAAGAUGGCGUAAGCUAUCGCUUUUGGAUGGACCCGCGGCGUAUUAGCUAGUUGGUGAGGUAAUGGCUCACCAAGGCGAUGAUACGUAGCCGAACUGAGAGGUUGAUCGGCCACAUUGGGACUGAGACACGGCCCAAACUCCUACGGGAGGCAGCAGUAGGGAAUCUUCCACAAUGGACGCAAGUCUGAUGGAGCAACGCCGCGUGAGUGAAGAAGGCUUUCGGGUCGUAAAACUCUGUUGUUGGAGAAGAAUGGUCGGCAGAGUAACUGUUGUCGGCGUGACGGUAUCCAACCAGAAAGCCACGGCUAACUACGUGCCAGCAGCCGCGGUAAUACGUAGGUGGCAAGCGUUAUCCGGAUUUAUUGGGCGUAAAGCGAGCGCAGGCGGUUUUUUAAGUCUGAUGUGAAAGCCCUCGGCUUAACCGAGGAAGCGCAUCGGAAACUGGGAAACUUGAGUGCAGAAGAGGACAGUGGAACUCCAUGUGUAGCGGUGAAAUGCGUAGAUAUAUGGAAGAACACCAGUGGCGAAGGCGGCUGUCUGGUCUGUAACUGACGCUGAGGCUCGAAAGCAUGGGUAGCGAACAGGAUUAGAUACCCUGGUAGUCCAUGCCGUAAACGAUGAAUGCUAGGUGUUGGAGGGUUUCCGCCCUUCAGUGCCGCAGCUAACGCAUUAAGCAUUCCGCCUGGGGAGUACGACCGCAAGGUUGAAACUCAAAGGAAUUGACGGGGGCCCGCACAAGCGGUGGAGCAUGUGGUUUAAUUCGAAGCAACGCGAAGAACCUUACCAGGUCUUGACAUCUUUUGAUCACCUGAGAGAUCAGGUUUCCCCUUCGGGGGCAAAAUGACAGGUGGUGCAUGGUUGUCGUCAGCUCGUGUCGUGAGAUGUUGGGUUAAGUCCCGCAACGAGCGCAACCCUUAUGACUAGUUGCCAGCAUUUAGUUGGGCACUCUAGUAAGACUGCCGGUGACAAACCGGAGGAAGGUGGGGAUGACGUCAAAUCAUCAUGCCCCUUAUGACCUGGGCUACACACGUGCUACAAUGGAUGGUACAACGAGUUGCGAGACCGCGAGGUCAAGCUAAUCUCUUAAAGCCAUUCUCAGUUCGGACUGUAGGCUGCAACUCGCCUACACGAAGUCGGAAUCGCUAGUAAUCGCGGAUCAGCACGCCGCGGUGAAUACGUUCCCGGGCCUUGUACACACCGCCCGUCACACCAUGAGAGUUUGUAACACCCGAAGCCGGUGGCGUAACCCUUUUAGGGAGCGAGCCGUCUAAGGUGGGACAAAUGAUUAGGGUGA
rnacentral:rRNA from 1 species